CUAACCUCACCAGUAGCCCCUCCACUCAAUCUUAGUCCUCCCCGACCCCUCCAACAAGAUCAAAGAGCUCCAAUUCCCCUACCAUGGUCGUCAUGGCCGCCUCGGCCUUGGCUCAAAUUCUAGCGAGCUGGAGCACCAUUCUCUCUCCAACCCUCCAUGUAGCUCUCCCCUAGUCAAGGCAAGUUUCCUAGGUGCCCAAGCUUCCCGUCCCUACGACCGGGCCACUCGCCUCUGCGGCUCCCGAAUCAGCCGCCCGCCAUGGACGGUGCCAUGAGAACCUCGGCCCUCCCACGCAACUCUAGUCGGGCCUCCCCGAUGCGGAGCUUCACGGCGAGCACUCCGGUGGUCCUAGCUCCACCGGAGGUAUCCGGAGCCUCCGGGGCCAGCGCCGGCAGCUACGCGGCCUCGCCCCUCCUCUGUCCCGUGUUCGGUUGACGGGAGGAAGUAGACCGCCACCAUCGAGCCCCACCUCCUCGCGGGCCGCUCAAGUUAGUCGCCGAGGCGUUGACCGAGUCGCUAACGUGGAUAACUGAAGACGUAUUCCCUGAAAUACGUCUUCCACCACCGAAAGCGACUUCUAGGUCUUCUUCGGGCACAAUGCAUUUUUUCUUCUCUCAAAGUGUACUUAUCCUAAAGGCAUUUUGUGUUUUUCAACCACGGGCUUGUUUGGUCAUUGAUCUUCGAUCGUCCGUAUCUUCGCACCCGUAACUCUAAUUCGGGUGAUUGCAAAGCCCUUGUUUUGAUAUUGUCAAGCCUGUUCUGUUGGUAUCAUUUGCAAUAUAUUUUCCCAUACUGGAAAUGACCAUUUUUUCUUUGUCAUUGAUUAGACCCUCCAAGAGAGAAGUGUUCCCGACGAAUCUUUCCGCGAGUCCCUCGCAUUUCUUCAUGGUGAAUCCUUCAUCCUCAGGCAAGCACGACAGCCACUUGCAGGAUGGCCUUGAAGUAUCCAUGGUUUCCACAUGAAUAUUUAAUAUUUUUUUGCUCGGUUACAAUUGUUAUUUCUGUUUCGGUUAUGCUUAUGGAUCCAUACUUAUCAUCAUGCUAUGCUCUUAUGCAUCCUGUUAGUUAUGUGAGUACUUGCUAGUGUUAUUCUCAUCUGUCAUGCUUGUUAUUAUUACAUGCUCGUGAUAGUAGAAUUCAUCUAAUGCAUUAGCAUCACGAGUACCUAUGAUAUGCAUGAUAGUCGCUAUGCCGUGUUCAUCAGCAUCCACAGUACACCCAUAGUUACCUGUAUGGGAAGGCCUUAAUGCGGUCUAUUGUCAUGCCUCUCGCUGGUUACUCCAACUAGGGAAGGGUAUGUGCGCGCGUUACCCCGAUCAGGUAUGCAGCCAUAAGCCUUGUGUGCUCGUGUUAGUAUUGAGAUCAUGUCCCCAUUAGGGACCGUAUUUGUUUCGCCACGACGCUGGCCGGUGGAUGUCCACAGUAGCAUCGGGGCCACCCAUGACUUAGACCAAAGGGGAAUUUGUCUUACUGGUCGGGAGAGUGUCAUGCAAUAGAUUGGUUUUGUCAGAACGAUGUUGGUCCACCCGAAUGGGAGCACAAGGCCUUGGGUUGUGUGGUGUGGGUACAGUGUACUAACAUGUGUAUAGUGUGUGUAAUCUAUUGAUAGACGCUCCCGCAGAUAUGGUCCCGGUAACACUAUGAAUAAUAACCUAGUUAAUAAAUAACCCUGGUUUGAUGAAGAAAGAAGUUGGUUGAUAUUUAUGUGAUCAUGAGAGGAUCAAAGUGGUAUGAUGGAUACCGAGGUUGGUUAAUAUUUUGGAUACAUGUGGUGAUUACGAGGUAACCCCGAUCAGAGUAAGUUGGAAUAUGAUAGUUUAAACAUGCGGCAUUCUAGUAUCAUCAUGUUCUUAUCUUCACGCCAUGCUCAUUUCGUAUUGUUCUAGAGAUAUCAUGUUCAUCAUUGAUCUUUAACUCGUAAAUGCCAUGUUGUUGUUUGUCUUGAUUGCUUUGGUUGAUGUGAGCUUGCGAGCACAUUCAAACUACUCACCUAGCAUGUCAUGUCAGUUUGCAGGUCAUACCAUGAUUGAUUGCUUGACGAGUUGGCGAGCUAUGAUAAGCAUUCUAGUCAGCGUCCCUGCGGAGUGGAGUACAUCAGCGUCAUCGUUGUUCCGCUGCUAGAAGUUAUUCCGCUACUUCGAGUUGUUCUGCUCCAAGCAUAGAGCUACCUGAGAGGGCAUAGUGUCAUCGUGCCGAUGUAAUCUGUUGUGAUAUUGGAACCAUUGUAUGUGUAUCAUUUGUAAUAAAGAGUUGAUUUGUUCUAUGCCAAGCAGUGUUGUAUUCCACACACUAAUCUGAGGGCUAGAAUACGGGGGUUCUGGUUUCUCUGAGCCAGGGUGCCACAAUCGGUGACCACCUUGGUGGGUUGUCUCCGAUAACUCCUUGUUGAUACUUGCAGUCAGCAUGACCCUACCUUCCUAUGAGGGUUGUGCGGGUGGGAAGUGGUUAGGAUGCUAACAAUUUCUACGCAAGUGGGAUGAAAAAAUGCAUGGUGACGAAAAGGAAAUUAUUUCAAACACUUUUCGAAAACCCAGUCGGGUGCUACUAAUCCUCGAGAGAGAUUGUGUUGAUCUAGGUAACCAAUCGAGAAAGAAGCAUCGUAUCAAGGCAAGUGAGUGUGUUGUUUUUGACAUCAGAUUGGUUUAAGUUGCGACCGUAACUCCAAACUUACGUGUGCGACCACGAUACCCCUAUAUGAGACCGGGCCUUGUUGAUUACCUUUGUCGAUGCUAGCGGAGAGCCUCAUUAAUUGUGAGGGAAGAGCCGAAUCACUCUAUCGAUGUAGGGUCAUGCAAAGUAGGGCGAUCAUGGGCUGUUUUUACACACACCGGGCACACCAUUGUGUCCCCUCAUGGAUGGUACAAUCUUGAGCGAGUCUCGUAUGUUGUACAUCAUGAGGAUGUGGACCAACGAGUGGACUCUUUGUUUAGUGUUGCCAGGGG
rnacentral:lncRNA from 1 species